GGACCCACCUGACUCCAUCCCGAACUCAGAAGUGAAACGAAACAGCGUCGAUGGUAGUGUGGGGUCUCCCCAUGUGAGAGUAGAACAUCGCCAGGC
rnacentral:rRNA from 1 species